GCGGUCGUGUGAUGAUCAAAGUUAUCCCUGUCUGAGUACUGUUGAGGAUAAGAUGACUACUGACGACUAC
rfam:Oesophagostomum dentatum strain OD-Hann O_dentatum-1.0_Cont1636.4, whole genome shotgun sequence.